rnacentral:lncRNA from 1 species
CUUUCGUCUCAGGAAAAAGAAAGCUUGGAAGGUAUAAUUACUGUUAAAGAAGCUGGAGAAGCAUUGAAAAAAAUGAAAAACAACAAAACUCCUGGAACGGAUGGUUUUUCAGCAGAGUUCUAUAAAUUUUUUUGGAAGGAUCUUCAAAUUUUUAUUGUAAAUUCUUUAAAUUAUGGUGCAAAAACAGGGGAACUAUCUGUUAC